GCAAGGGGCAGAAGCCUGCUCAAAGUCCAGACACAGUCCGUGAAGAGAGAGCCCCUCUCAAGAAUUAGCCCCAAAUUCGUUGUUGGAGGCGGUCUCCGCUGUGUCAUGCCAUGAGCAAAGAGUGAAGAGAGCUGUGUCCACAGCACGAAGGGGUCUCCUUGGCCAGUGUCCAAGCCCCCUUUCCUGGAUAUCUUCAGCCUUAAAGAACAGUCACAAGGCCACCCAUUGGCUGAAGGUGGGCAGCGGAGCACAUAGUCUUGUCCCUUCCAAAGCAUGGCCAGUUUAGACUGAUUCUUCCUAUCUGGCUUCUAAAGUCUAGCACCCUCCU
rnacentral:lncRNA from 1 species